UCUACCACAGGCUGGCCUGAAACUGAAGAUCUUCCUGCCUCUAUCCCUUGAGUUCCAGGACUGUGUGCAAGCCAUCAUCUCUGGUGGAAGACUGUCUUAUUCUCUGGUGCUGGGGAUGGAAUCCAGAACCUUGUGAAAGUUUAUGUUUUGGUAUAAAGGUUGUUUGAAGAAUAAACAAGAGGAAUUUUCUGGAUGUGAACUCAGGAUUUCAUGAGGGAUCACUGAGAAUCUCCCUCCCAAUAAAGCCAUACACUGGACAGUUCCACAGAGCCUGCACAGCAGUGAAGAAUCCAGCUACCCCAAGAUGUGAGUGCAUCCCAGCUGUCUCAGGAUCCUCCCACCCCAAAUCAGCAGUAAGCACUUUUUGAGACAGGGUAUCUCUGUGUAAGAGCCCUGGCUGUCCUGGAACUCACUAUGAUGACCACACUGGCCUCAAACUCACAAAGACCUGCUUCAGCCUCUAACGGGGCAUUCUUAUGGAAGUUUGGAAGGCAAGAACCAAGAGAAACCAGACAGUACUGACCCAGCUCCUGAUGUUUCAGAAGGAAUAAGAUCCCUACGGUGGAAGGGGGCUGGAGAGAUGGCUCAGGUAUUAAGAGCUGGCUGCUACGCCGAAGGUCACAACUAUUUAUAAUGAUAUCUGGCGCCCUCUUCUGGCCUGUAGGUAUA